rnacentral:rRNA from 1 species
UGGCUCAGGAUGAACGCUAGCGACAGGCUUAACACAUGCAAGUCGAGGGGCAGCGGGGGUGAUGGCUUGCCAUCACCUGCCGGCGACCGGCGCACGGGUGAGUAACACGUAUGCAACCUGCCCGCCACAGGGGGAUAAGCGGAAGAAAUUCCGUCUAAUACCGCGUGACGCGGCGCCGGGGCAUCCCGGUGCCGCCAAAGGGAUUACCGGUGGCGGAUGGGCAUGCGGCGCAUUAGCUAGUCGGCGGGGUAACGGUCCACCGAGGCGACGAUGCGUAGGGGUUCUGAGAGGAAGGUCCCCCACACUGGUACUGAGACACGGACCAGACUCCUACGGGAGGCAGCAGUGAGGAAUAUUGGUCAAUGGGCGCGAGCCUGAACCAGCCAAGUCGCGUGAGGGAUGACGGUCCUACGGAUUGUAAACCUCUUUUGCCGGGGAGCAAGCGUGCGUUCGUGAACGCGCGUCGAGAGUACCCGGAGAAAAAGCAUCGGCUAACUCCGUGCCAGCAGCCGCGGUAAUACGGAGGAUGCGAGCGUUAUCCGGAUUUAUUGGGUUUAAAGGGUGCGUAGGCGGGAUGCCAAGUCAGCGGUAAAAAUGCGGUGCUCAACGCCGUCGAGCCGUUGAAACUGGCGUUCUUGAGUGGGCGAGAAGUAUGCGGAAUGCGUGGUGUAGCGGUGAAAUGCAUAGAUAUCACGCAGAACUCCGAUUGCGAAGGCAGCAUACCGGCGCCCUACUGACGCUGAGGCACGAAAGCGUGGGUAUCGAACAGGAUUAGAUACCCUGGUAGUCCACGCAGUAAACGAUGAAUGCUAACUGUCCGGCUCGAAUGAGCGCUGGGCGGUACAGCGAAAGCGUUAAGCAUUCCACCGGGGGAGUACGCCGGCAACGGUGAAAUUCAAAGGAAUUGACGGGGGCCUGCACAAGCGGAGGAACAUGUGGUUUAAUUCGAUGAUACGCGAGGAACCUUACCCGGGCUCAAACGCAGGAUGACGGGUCCCGAAAGGGGUCUUUCUUCGGACAUUCUGCGAGGUGCUGCAUGGUUGUCGUCAGCUCGUGCCGUGAGGUGUCGGCUUAAGUGCCAUAACGAGCGCAACCCCUGUCCACAGUUGCCAGCAGGUAAAGCUGGGGACUCUGUGGAGACUGCCGGCGCAAGCUGCGAGGAAGGCGGGGAUGACGUCAAAUCAGCACGGCCCUUACGUCCGGGGCGACACACGUGUUACAAUGGCAGGUACAGCGGGAUGCCACGGGGCGACCCGGCGCUGAACCCAAAAACCUGUCUCAGUUCGGAUUGGAGUCUGCAACCCGACUCCAUGAAGCUGGAUUCGCUAGUAAUCGCGCAUCAGCCACGGCGCGGUGAAUACGUUCCCGGGCCUUGUACACACCGCCCGUCAAGCCAUGGAAGCCGGGGGUACCUGAGUGCGUGACCGCGAGGAGCGCCCUAGGGUAAAACUCGGUGACUGGGGCUAAGUCGUAACAAGGUAGCCGU